rnacentral:rRNA from 1 species
UCGCACGAGAAAGUGGAGCAAUCCAUGAGUACAGUGGCGUACGGGUGAGUAACACGUGGAUCAUCUACCUCUUGAUGGGGAAUAACCCUGGGAAACCGGGGCUAAUACCGCAUAAGCCUGUAAAGGGAAAGCAGCAAUGCGUCGAGAGAGGAGUCCGCGGCCGAUUAGCUAGUUGGUAGGGUAAAGGCCUACCAAGGCAAUGAUCGGUAGCCGGCCUGAGAGGGCACACGGCCACACUGGCACUGAAACACGGGCCAGACUCCUACGGGAGGCAGCAGUGGGGAAUCUUGCACAAUGGAGGAAACUCUGAUGCAGCGACGCCGCGUGAGCGAUGAAGCCCUUCGGGGUGUAAAGCUCUUUCGGCAGGAACGAUAAUGACGGUACCUGCAGAAGAAGCUGCGGCUAACUACGUGCCAGCAGCCGCGGUAAUACGUAGGCAGCAAGCGUUGUUCGGAAUUACUGGGCGUAAAGAGUGUGUAGGCGGUUCUCUAAGUUCCGUGUGAAAUCUCCCGGCUCAACUGGGAGGGUGCGCGGGAAACUGGAGGGCUCGAGUAUGGGAGAGGAAAGCGGAAUUCCUGGUGUAGCGGUGAAAUGCGUAGAUAUCAGGAGGAACACCUGCGGUGUAGACAGCUUUCUGGACCAUCACUGACGCUGAGACACGAAAGCGUGGGUAGCAAACAGGAUUAGAUACCCUGGUAGUCCACGCCCUAAACGAUGCAUACUUGGUGUGAGCCGUUCAUUCGGUUCGUGCCGGAGCUAACGCGUUAAGUAUGCC